AGCGAACGCUGGCGGCAGGCCUAACACAUGCAAGUCGAACGAACCUUUCGGGGUUAGUGGCGGACGGGUGAGUAACACGUGGGAACGUGCCUUUAGGUUCGGAAUAACUCAGGGAAACUUGUGCUAAUACCGAAUGUGCCCUUCGGGGGAAAGAUUUAUCGCCUUUAGAGCGGCCCGCGUCUGAUUAGCUAGUUGGUUGAGGUAAUGGCUCACCAAGGCGAGGAUCAGUAGCUGGUCUGAGAGGAUGAUAAGCCACAUUGGAACUGAGUCACGGCCGAGACUGUUGGGGGAGGUAGCAGGGGGGAAUACUGCGGAACGGGCCAAAGCGUGAUCCUGCGGAACCGCGUAGGUGAAUAAAGCCUUAUGGCUGGAAAAACAUGUAGGGGUGAAAGAAAAACAGCCCCUGAAUAGCCCGCUGUCAUGACGGUACCCAAAGAAUAAGCACCGGCUAACUUCGUG
rnacentral:rRNA from 1 species